UACGUAGGGGGCAAGCGUUGUCCGGAAUUAUUGGGCGUAAAGGGCACGCAGGCGGUCUCUUAAGUCUGAUGUGAAAGCCCACGGCUCAACCGUGGAGGGUCAUUGGAAACUGGGGGACUUGAGUGUAGGAGAGGAAAGUGGAAUUCCACGUGUAGCGGUGAAAUGCGUAGAGAUGUGGAGGAACACCAGUGGCGAAGGCGACUUUCUGGCCUAUAACUGACGCUGAGGUGCGAAAGCGUGGGGAGCGAACAGG
rnacentral:misc_RNA from 1 species